rnacentral:misc_RNA from 1 species
GUGAGUCAUCCAAUACCAUCUUUUGAAGGCGACAAAGGCUGAUAGAGUGAAAUGGUAUAAUGUUAGGCGCAUAUGACGCGUCAAUUAUCGUGACUCGUAGAACGAGGACAAGAGGCUACAAGAUGGAGGUUCCUCGGGAUACGGGGACAAGGGGAUUUCUAGAAACCGUUGAAGAGGGCCGAAGCGAUAAUCAAGAGUGCUCGGAGGGUGGACUCACGUGGUGUACGGUGCCGUCGGCGGUUCUGGCAUCUCGCUUGGUCGGCCCUAGGCCGUCUCGUAUGCAGGGAGACGCGCGUCCCGACGCAGGGGGGGACGCCUUUCGCCGCCUCUCGACGUCUCACCUCGCCACGGGUACCCACAAGCAAAUCCCUGAUAAUGGCCACGCGCCCUCGCCCUCCACCUCCACAAUAUAUUCCAAGGAAAGUCUGCGAAAUUCAGGAAACGAGCUUGCCAAUUUUGAUCCAGAUAGACAGCAACCUGCGCAACAAUUUCACGAAAACGCUGGCAAGGGCAUACGUGCUCGCGGUUAACAGAAAAUACGACGACUGUCAUGGCGUCCCUCGCCCACCCCGCAGGAACUUACGCGUUUGGUGCAUCAUUUAGUCGAUUAGUUUUUCAUCGAUUUCUAUGAAAAAAUCACCCGAUAAAUAAACUUGCCAUAACGAAAAACAAAUUUCCAAUGAAAUUUUCUAGAAAUAAACCGCCUAAUUGUUAAUAUGACAAAAUGAAAUUUGUCAAGUGCUCUUUGUUAGUUCAUUCAGUAUGCGCGCGCAGCAUCCGGGUGCGCGCGCCGUUUUAUUACUUCCUGUGUUACAACCCGCCAAAUUAGAAACAUCAAAAUCUAAAAUGUGUGAAUAAUUUUAUUUAAUAAUUUUUAUUUAUCUAGAUUUCUGGUCGAAGCAUUACGUUUUCUUAGAAGACAAUUAACAAUAAGAGGAGAUUAGUUUCUGUAAAAAAAUAAUUGAUACAAACAAUUGAAUUUGUAUAAAUUAUAUAAUUUCAUUGCACAAAAAGAAUUGUAAAAAUGAUAAUUUUUUAAACACAGC